ensembl:lincRNA
GUGGAGCAGCAGAUGAUUUCGCGGACGCUUCAGGAGCAGAGCCUCCUGCUGGAUGCGGCCCACGGCACCAGGAGAGCUGCAGGCUGUUCAGGAAGAGAAAACCCAGCUCCAGGCGCAUCUGUAAGUGCAGCACGGUGGCUAUGCGUGCGUUUGUGUUUCUCUCCUUUGAUGAAAACGUUUAUCCCCCAUCAGCUGGGCCAGCACAGAGAUAAAGAUUCUGCCUUCGAGGAGCUGGCUUGAUAGAACAUUCAUACCUGUUCUCAGUAGGAGUUGGUCAUGCAUUCUAAAACAACACUGAAUCACUCCUCCUGCUAAAUCAGAGCUCUCAUCUGACUUUCAUGUUGUCUGACUUUUCUCCUGAAGGAACCAUUUAGCCCUUGAGCAUAACCAGUGUGUGCAGAGAGCCAGGAUGCCGAGCAGAGGACGGCUGUGCAGAAGGAGCUUCUGGAGUCAACCAUCGCGAGACUGCGAGGCGAAGUGGACGCAUCGGUGCAAGAGAAGUCCCUGCUGGAGGAGAACGAAAGGUUUCGGAGACGGGUGGGUAGAAGCAGAUUCCCACUGCCGCCUCCUCACGGAGCGAUGGUGAUGUUGCAAAAUUGUACUCUAAGUGCAGUUUCAAGACCAGAAAUUGAACCAGAUGCAGUUUGUCCGAGUUUCCCCUUAAAGAAAUCCUAGUGGCUAACGUGUCCCCUGGAGCCUGGGAAGCAGUCUGUGACGAAUAGAACAAUGCACACAGCACCGGUGAGUGUCAGCAGAUAAUUCACACAUCCUCCUGUUAGGUAAGGGUCGCGUUUGGAAAGUUGACAUCCUCUGGAGGGGGAAUGGUGGAGAUUAGGGGCGCAGCCAGGUCUUCCUAGCUAUGCGGGAGUCGACAUCCUCUGGAGGGGGAAUGGUGGAGAUUAGGGGCGCAGCCAGGUCUUCCUAGCUAUGCGGGAGUCUGCCACGCAGAGAUGGCUUUCUGGUUUCUGUUCGUGCUUCCUGUUCACCUCAGAUGCCUACCUGGCCCCUCUUCCGGGCGGAGUGCAAGGGGGUGCCGUGUAGGUACAAAAGCCACACAGGCUGUGUGUGCUCCAGGAGAGCCUGUCAGCCGCUGUGAACCUGACCUAUUGCUUUCUCUCUCUCUCCGGCAGGCUAACAAGACAGAAAAAGAAAUAACACAAGAAAAAUGCGCUUUGGAAAAGGAGUUAGCUAAAAAUAAGGUGAAAUCCAUCCUUGAGAAGAACGAGGAGGAGCUGUCCCAAGCAGUGAAGGGCCGGGACGCUGCCCUGCAGGAGAGUCAGAGGUUGAAAGGGGACCUGGAGGCCUUGGAGAACAAGGAAAGCAAGAAGGUGGGAAACUUUCAGAGACAGUUGGCAGAGGGGAAAGAAGACAACUGCAAAGUUACAAUCAUGUUGGAAAAUGUGCUGGCUUCUCACAGUAAGAUGCAAGGAGCUCUGGAGAAAGCGCAGAUAGAGCUGGGGCGAAAGGAUUCCGAGAUCGCAGGCCUCAAGAAAGAAAGGGCCCUCAACCUGCAGCGGGUGCAGAAGCUGGAAGCCGAGGUGGACCAGUGGCAGGCCAGGAUGCUUGAUGUGGACGCCCAGCACAGCAGCGAGGUGGAGCCUCUACAGAAAUCUCUCAAUGCAGCUAGAGAAGACAACAGGAAGUUGGCCAUGAGCCUGGGGCAAGCUCUCCAGACAAAUAAUCAUCUGCAGACCAAGCUGGAUCGUGUUCAAGAAAAAUUGGAGAAGAAAGAACUUGAGUGGCAGAAUUUGGAAACCCUGAGAGAGAGGAUGACGGAGGAGUGCAGAGCGGAAGCGGAAAUGCAUGCUGAGCUCAUCGAAGCGCUAAGGAAGCAGUUCCAGACUGAGAGAGAUACUGCGAGGAAAGCGGCACAGCAGGAGCUUGCUGAGCUGAAGAAAGCCCUCCACGAAGCCAACUUCCGGUCAGUGGAAGUGUCCCGGAGCAAUCGAGAGCUGCGGCAGAAAAUCGCCGAGCUGGAGAAGACGCUGAGCAGUAGCCAGGAGAAGCUAAAGAGUCAGAAGGCCCAGAUAAAGCUUCACCUGUCAGCCAAGACAAGCAACGCUCAGAACGUGGAGAGGAUGAAGGUUGUGCGAGCGCCAGCGUGGGGCGGGUGGGCUUCUGGGAAGCAGGGUGUCCUCCCUGGCCGCGGGGCAGUGGCUGCCGGGUAA